GAUGAACGCUAGCUACAGGCUUAACACAUGCAAGUCGAGGGGCAGCAUGGUCUUAGCUUGCUAAGGCUAAUGGCGACCGGCGCACGGGUGAGUAACACGUAUCCAACCUGCCGUCUACUCUUGGCCAGCCUUCUGAAAGGAAGAUUAAUCCAGGAUGGGAUCAUGAGUUCACAUGUCCGCAUGAUUAAAGGUAUUUUCCGGUAGACGAUGGGGAUGCGUUCCAUUAGAUAGUAGGCGGGGUAACGGCCCACCUAGUCAACGAUGGAUAGGGGUUCUGAGAGGAAGGUCCCCCACAUUGGAACUGAGACACGGUCCAAACUCCUACGGGAGGCAGCAGUGAGGAAUAUUGGUCAAUGGGCGAUGGCCUGAACCAGCCAAGUAGCGUGAAGGAUGACUGCCCUAUGGGUUGUAAACUUCUUUUAUAAAGGAAUAAAGUCGGGUAUGCAUACCCGUUUGCAUGUACUUUAUGAAUAAGGAUCGGCUAACUCCGUGCCAGCAGCCGCGGUAAUACGGAGGAUCCGAGCGUUAUCCGGAUUUAUUGGGUUUAAAGGGAGCGUAGAUGGAUGUUUAAGUCAGUUGUGAAAGUUUGCGGCUCAACCGUAAAAUUGCAGUUGAUACUGGAUGUCUUGAGUGCAGUUGAGGCAGGCGGAAUUCGUGGUGUAGCGGUGAAAUGCUUAGAUAUCACGAAGAACUCCGAUUGCGAAGGCAGCCUGCUAAGCUGCAACUGACAU
rnacentral:rRNA from 1 species